rnacentral:rRNA from 1 species
GAUGAACGCUGGCGGCGUGCCUAAUACAUGCAAGUCGAGCGAACAGACGAGGAGCUUGCUCCUCUGACGUUAGCGGCGGACGGGUGAGUAACACGUGGAUAACCUACCUAUAAGACUGGGAUAACUUCGGGAAACCGGAGCUAAUACCGGAUAAUAUAUUGAACCGCAUGGUUCAAUAGUGAAAGACGGUUUUGCUGUCACUUAUAGAUGGAUCCGCGCCGCAUUAGCUAGUUGGUAAGGUAACGGCUUACCAAGGCAACGAUGCGUAGCCGACCUGAGAGGGGGAUCGGCCACCCUGGAACUGAGACACGGUCCAGACUCCUACGGGAGGCAGCAGUAGGGAAUCUUCCGCAAUGGGCGAAAGCCUGACGGAGCAACGCCGCGUGAGUGAUGAAGGUCUUCGGAGCGUAAAACUCUGUUAUUAGGGAAGAACAAAUGUGUAAGUAACUAUGCACGUCUUGACGGUACCUAAUCAGAAAGCCACGGCUAACUACGUG